AUCCAAAUCUUCAAAUCACUUUUCAAAUAAUAUUAAAAUUGUUCUAAAACAUUGGAAGCUUAGAUUUUCUGCGAAAAGCGAAAGUGACGGAAAAACUGAAUGCAACGAAGUGUGGUGGAGAGCAUGGAAGAGAUUGACCAGGAUCAUGGAAGAGAGCUUCGAGAGGUGUCAGCUUGAUUACGUCGUCAACAUCAAGUUCGGUUCCUUGAUUAGAUCGUGAAUGAGACGAUUCCAACACUGGCGAAAUCCUGUAUUUGAACGGAGGAGCCACCGUUGUUGCGUUUCAUCGAAGUGAAGGAGGUAGCGUUGUUGCCAUUACUGUGUGAACAACACCGGAUUGGGGGAUUAGGGUAAACAUUGAUUUGGUUACCUUUGCCGACAAUAGGGCGUCUGCAAAUUUUAUUGGAGUGUAUGAACCCACAAAGCAGCAAUUGCCAAGGUCAUUAUUGCCCGAGAAUCUUAGUGUUGUGGCUCAUUUUAGGUUCUUUCCUUCAGAGUUUGGAAAUGUUUUGGAUCAAACUCAUGUUGUAGACGAAGGACAUGAGCUAUUUGAAUGAAAAGUUAAAUUUCGUCAAACCGCUGAGGCUGAAGGAAUUUGGUGGAAUGGGCAAAGCCAUACAUGGCAAACAAGAGAAAGCUUCUGCCUGUGUUGGUUAAUUGUAUUGAAGGACAAUAUGAUAUAGAUGAGGCUUUUAAGGUUGCUACCCUCUGUUCUGUGAUGCCUUGCAACAAAAUCCAAGCUGAGACCAAACAUGCACGAAGUUAUCACAAAUUUGGAGUACCUGCAGCUUCCUCAUGUGCAUCAUAAUCGUUUUGUGAACACCUCUUAUGGUCGUAGGAAAAGUGUUGAUGAUUUAUGUUAUAGGCUUUACAUAUCUUAGUAUUAUUGCUUGUACAUAUUCUAGGCUCUGUCUGUAACAUAACCUUAGUUAAAAUAUCUGGAACUGCAUAUAUACUUUCUUGUUUCUAGUUAGCUCAAUUUUGUUAUUUUUUCAUUGUUGUUCCUUCUCCGUGUGCUUACACUGAAUUGCAAUGUGCAGUUCACAUA